UUCUUUUCUCUGCAGAACUUAAAUGAAGAUAUUUUGAAGAAUGUUGGUAAGCAAACAGUUUUGCUCUCAAUUGACUUCCAUUGUAAAGACAAAAAAUAAAAAAUAAAAAAAAAUACUAAGUUCCAAAGCAAGUAAGUAAGUCUGGGUUGGAAAAAUAAUGACAGAAUUGUCAUGUAAAAUAUCCCUUUUAAAUAACCAACUUGAUGACUGCAUUGUUUAACGACUGAGCGUGGAAAAUCGCAUGGUGUAAUCACAACUUAAAACACAGAAAACAUGCAGGUUCUUAUUUAGUUUGACGAGAGAGACACUCACCAGGAAACGUGGGGUUUAGCCCCACCUGAUGAAGAGCCUUUUAAAAAUUAAGGCCGUUUAGAAACUUUACCUUUAUGGAGUGUCUGCUUCCUAAAAUCUUAAAAGGACUAACAAUUAUGCUCAUAGCAUAUGCUGUUGUUAGUGAAUAACCAGACUGAUCCAGAUUCGAUGCUUCGCAGCACAUCGGAGCACGAAUACCUGCUGAGAAAUGAGAGGAAAAUCCCGGGAGAAUGAAAACAGACGCCAAUACAUGAACGCAGAGGGAAGUGCGAGCACGAAAGAGUUCCACAGGCACUCAUGAAUAUUUAAAUCACACUCGGUCCAUCUGGCCAGGUGCAGAUGAGGAGAGACAAGUUAUUCAGCACUGGUCUGUCAUACAUGUUACAUUAAAAUACCCCAAUGAUGAAUCUGCGUGUGUGUGUCUGUGCAUUCAUCAGAUCGUCUUACACCCAGCCUGCUGCAAGCGAUCAAUUUGACGCUUGCAGUACACGAUAGAUAUGGCAUGGUCUAGGCCAGUUUUCUACUUUUAGCCACCCUUUGCAUUGAAAUGAGCUCAUUACUGAUCACAACUUUCAUCUUUAAUACAAUGACCAAGGCAUUAAAAUGACCUAUUUAAGAGUGAUUCUUUUUGAAUAAUAAAUGAAAUUUGCCUUGCCUUAGAAAACACCAUUAAUAAAUUACAUUAUUGCAUGCCAUGCUGUAGUGUUUUUCUUCUUCUAGAGAGAGUUAUAAGAGGUUGAAAAUAAGUAAAAUGAACUAAGGGUACAUUUACAUGACAAUGACAUACUAAAAAGGAAAAAGUUUUUCCUUAGAGUUUUUCACCUACUGACGACAAUGUUGUCAAAACAAACUCCAUUCUGUAUUAUGCAUGCCAGACCAGUAGUUGAUGUCGUCACUUUGUAAAGAAAAACUAUGCGCCUAUAGACUGAACACAUAAUAUGCAUGUGCAUGAGCUCACUGUUUUCACAAAUUCUCAUUAUUUGUACAUUACACAGAGGCAAUAAUGAAAAUCAUUUACAAAAACUUGCACUUUGAAACACGUUUUCAAAAGUUUGCAUUUUCAGUCCCCCAAAACGCCAUUGUUGUGUAAAUGAAUGGCCAGACCACAACGUUUUUUCAGUUUUAGUUGAAAACCACGGUGUUGUGUAAACGGCCCCUAAAAACAGACUAUGCAUGAUUUCUGAAUAUCCCAAGUUUGAGUGUGUAAAACAUCCCAUAAA